GCCGGCAUAGCUCAGCGGUUAGAGCGGCGGCUUCAUAAGCCGUAGGUCCGUGGUUCAAGUCCACGUGCCGGCACCA
rnacentral:tRNA from 1 species